GAUGAACGCUGGCGGUAUGCUUAACACAUGCAAGUCGAACGGACUCUUCGGAGUUAGUGGCGGACGGGUGAGUAACGCGUGAGAAUCUGGCUUUGGGUUCGGGACAACCACUGGAAACGGUGGCUAAUACCGGAUGUGCCGAGAGGUAAAAGAGAAAUUGCCUGAAGAUGAGCUCGCGUCUGAUUAGCUAGUUGGUGAGGUAAAGGCACACCAAGGCAGCGAUCAGUAGCUGGUCUGAGAGGAUGACCAGCCACACUGGGACUGAGACACGGCCCAGACUCCUACGGGAGGAGGCAGUGGGGAAUUUUCCGCAAUGGGCGAAAGCCUGACGGAGCAAUACCGCGUGAGGGAAGAAGGCUCUUGGGUUGUAAACCUCUUUUCUUAGGGAAGAACAAAAUGACGGUACCUAAGGAAUCAGCAUCGGCUAACUCCGUG
rnacentral:rRNA from 1 species